rnacentral:rRNA from 1 species
CUUUAACUCUGGCGGCAGGCCUAACACAUGCAAGUCGAGCGGAUGAAGGGAGCUUGCUCCUGGAUUCAGCGGCGGACGGGUGAGUAAUGCCUAGGAAUCUGCCUGGUAGUGGGGGAUAACGUCCGGAAACGGGCGCUAAUACCGCAUACGUCCUGAGGGAGAAAGUGGGGGAUCUUCGGACCUCACGCUAUCAGAUGAGCCUAGGUCGGAUUAGCUAGUUGGUGGGGUAAAGGCCUACCAAGGCGACGAUCCGUAACUGGUCUGAGAGGAUGAUCAGUCACACUGGAACUGAGACACGGUCCAGACUCCUACGGGAGGCAGCAGUGGGGAAUAUUGGACAAUGGGCGAAAGCCUGAUCCAGCCAUGCCGCGUGUGUGAAGAAGGUCUUCGGAUUGUAAAGCACUUUAAGUUGGGAGGAAGGGCAGUAAGUUAAUACCUUGCUGUUUUGACGUUACCAACAGAAUAAGCACCGGCUAACUUCGU